UACGAAGGGGGCUAGCGUUGCUCGGAAUUACUGGGCGUAAAGCGCACGUAGGCGGCUUUCUAAGUCGGGGGUGAAAUCCUGGAGCUCAACUCCAGAACUGCCUUCGAUACUGGAAAGCUCGAGUCCGGGAGAGGUGAGUGGAACUGCGAGUGUAGAGGUGAAAUUCGUAGAUAUCGGGAGGAACACCUGAGGCGAAGGCGGGCUACUGGGCCGAUACUGACGCUGAUGCGCGAAAGCCAGGGGAGCAAACGGG
rnacentral:rRNA from 1 species